CCUACGGGAGGCAGCAGUGGGGAAUAUUGGACAAUGGGGGGAACCCUGAUCCAGCCAUGCCGCGUGUGUGAAGAAGGCCCUCGGGUUGUAAAGCACUUUCAGUGAGGAAGAACGCCUGGUGGUUAAUACCCAUCAGGAAAGACAUCACUCACAGAAGAAGCACCGGCUAACUCCGUGCCAGCAGCCGCGGUAAUACGGAGGGUGCGAGCGUUAAUCGGAAUUACUGGGCGUAAAGCGCGCGUAGGUGGCUUGAUAAGCCGGUUGUGAAAGCCCCGGGCUUAACCUGGGAACGGCAUCCGGAACUGUCAAGCUAGAGUGCAGGAGAGGAAGGUAGAAUUCCCGGUGUAGCGGUGAAAUGCGUAGAGAUCGGGAGGAAUACCAGUGGCGAAGGCGGCCUUCUGGACUGACACUGACACUGAGGUGCGAAAGCGUGGGUAGCAAACAGGAUUAGAUACCCUUGUAGUC
rnacentral:rRNA from 1 species